GCCGGGCGCGGUGGCGCGUGCCUGUAGUCCCAGCUACUCGGGAGGCUGAGACAGGAGGAUCGCUUGAGUCCAGGAGUUCUGGGCUGUAGUGCGCUAUGCCGAUCGGGUGUCUGCACUAAGUUCGGCAUCAAUAUGGUGACCUCCCGGGAGCGGGGGACCACCAGGUUGCCUAAGGAGGGGUGAACCGGCCCAGGUCGAAAGUUGGCAAGGUGAAGGGCACCAGGUGACCCACUUUCAGCUACCAAGCUUUGAAUUGUGCAGUCUCUAGAAGGUGCGAUGCCUUUUCUUA
rnacentral:SRP_RNA from 1 species